rnacentral:rRNA from 1 species
UACGUAGGGCGCGAGCGUUGUCCGGAAUUAUUGGGCGUAAAGAGCUCGUAGGCGGCUUGUCACGUCGGGUGUGAAAGACCGGGGCUUAACUCCGGUUCUGCAUUCGAUACGGGCUAGCUAGAGUGUGGUAGGGGAGAUCGGAAUUCCUGGUGUAGCGGUGAAAUGCGCAGAUAUCAGGAGGAACACCGGUGGCGAAGGCGGCAUCCUGGACCGGCAUUGACGCUGAGGCGCGAAAGCCAGGGGAGCAAACGGG